rnacentral:rRNA from 1 species
GUUUGAUCCUGGCUCAGGACGAACGCUGGCGGCGUGCUUAACACAUGCAAGUCGAACGAUGAAGCACCAGCUUGCUGGUGUGGAUUAGUGGCGAACGGGUGAGUAACACGUGAGUAACCUGCCCCCUACUCUGGGAUAAGCCUGGGAAACUGGGUCUAAUACUGGAUAUGACCAAUCACUGCAUGGUGUGUUGGUGGAAAGAUUUUUUGGUGGGGGAUGGACUCGCGGCCUAUCAGCUUGUUGGUGGGGUAAUGGCCUACCAAGGCGACGACGGGUAGCCGGCCUGAGAGGGCGACCGGCCACACUGGGACUGAGACACGGCCCAGACUCCUACGGGAGGCAGCAGUGGGGAAUAUUGCACAAUGGGCGAAAGCCUGAUGCAGCAACGCCGCGUGAGGGAUGACGGCCUUCGGGUUGUAAACCUCUUUCACCAGGGACGAAGCUAACGUGACGGUACCUGGAGAAGAAGCACCGGCUAACUACGUGCCAGCAGCCGCGGUAAUACGUAGGGUGCGAGCGUUGUCCGGAAUUAUUGGGCGUAAAGAGCUUGUAGGCGGUUUGUCGCGUCUGCUGUGAAAGACCGGGGCUUAACUCCGGUUCUGCAGUGGGUACGGGCAGACUAGAGUAUGGUAGGGGAGACUGGAAUUCCUGGUGUAGCGGUGAAAUGCGCAGAUAUCAGGAGGAACACCGAUGGCGAAGGCAGGUCUCUGGGCCAUUACUGACGCUGAGAAGCGAAAGCAUGGGGAGCGAACAGGAUUAGAUACCCUGGUAGUCCAUGCCGUAAACGUUGGGCGCUAGGUGUGGGGCUCAUUCCACGAGUUCCGUGCCGCAGCUAACGCAUUAAGCGCCCCGCCUGGGGAGUACGGCCGCA